GUCUCUCUGGGGCUGCUCCUGUGGCACCUCUGAGGAACACCAAGCCCAUGGCACCAGGAUGAGCAGGGCAGUGCUGGAGCAGCAUCUAUGCAGAUACUGGGGCAUUCGUCUGGAGGACCAUCAUGUGCUGUGUGUGCUGCUGGUGCUUGGAGCCACAGCCUGCUGCAGUGGGGUCUCUGCAGCCCAGGAGUGCACUGAUGAUGUGUAGGAAGCAAAGUCCUACCCAGACAUGUGCUGUGAACAAAUGCUUCCUGCCUUAGGCUUGUUCUCUUGUUCCACAGUAGGAUUUCCUUUGUUGAACUGACUGUCACAUCCACUGCUGACUCAUUUCAGCUGCUGCCUUGCGCAGUUCCUCAGCAGCCUUACAUGGAGCCCUUGCUCUGCAAAGUAGAGCCCCUCUCCUGGGUCAUGGCUCUGGAUGUCCGACUUCACACCAGGAAGAUGCAUGUGGUGUUAGUGCUCAGCAGAAGAUGAGGUUUAGCCUCUUUGUUUCAAAGUAACUCUGUGCAGUUCUGAUUUACCACAUGGAGUGUCCUAGAAACCUGCAAAUUAAUGUAUAGUUGAAAACAUGUAGCCACCAUUUAUUGCUCCUGUUCUGUCCUUUGCCCCACGCCCUUCCUGUGCUCUACAGAGAAAAGAUCCAAAGUAAAAUCAUACUAAACCCGG